CAUUUCCUGAGAGCCUCUUUUACACACAGACAUCUUCCAUCCACAGUUACCUUUAGUGCCACCUACAGACUAGGAAGAGUGUCCAUGGAGGAAAAGACGUCUCACAGGGUCGCUGUGUGCCUCAAACUGCGAGGCCAGGUGAACCCACCUCCCGCCCGGCCUACCCUGGCACUUAGCAGGAAACUGAACCACACCUAUGCCAUGCCCACAGGGUGACUUCUACAAACACCGGGGCACUGCAGCAAAGACCAGAGGCUGUUUUGACUUUUGAUUUGGAGAGGAAGAGAGGCUGCCGCCAGGAAGAUCCUAUGAUCCAGUCCCGCCAUCGCUGGGCGCAGAGACGGGAAGAGGAAGGGAGAAGGCCGGAGGAGAGAAGGUGGUGAGGAGCUCCCCUGGGUUCUCAUUGCCCGGUCAUCCUGGCCCUGUGGAGAGAGUCAGCACUUCCUUCAGUGCGGACACGGGAAAAGAGAACACUUCCUUUGUCAUGGGACGACAGAGGGAUGGGCGUGCCAUGCUGGUGAAUGGAAAUUAAUGCUCAGUGUUGGGAAGGACACGGUCCCUGGCAGUCUCCUAAUGGAAUCCUGGGCCCCAGAAAACGGAAGCCUAGAGGACACACCCUAACUUACGCUGAGACCAGCCUUGCUCUGUUACCAGAAACAUGACACGAGUGAGAGAGAAGAACUCUGUGAGUUCAAGGCCAGCCUGGUCUACAGCCAGGCUCAGAGGGAGUCACUGCCUCGGGAAGAAGUUAGAAAGAUGACCGGGAGAGAGAAGAGGGAUGCUGAGGGAAGAGAUGCAGACACACAGCCACCCUCAGACCGAAUGAUGGCAAAGACAACAAGAGUAGAAACGUUUCGUUUCCUUACGAUCCGCCCUGGGUUCCUUGGGACAAAGCUGCAACUUUUAGAAAUAUUCCUCAAGACUCUCUGCAAGACACUGAAACAGGCUUUCCCGUACAGGAACACCUUCUUCAUUUAACAAGUUAAAUAUAGCGCGUUACUAAAUAAUUCACAGCGCUCGAAAUGAGUUCAAUAACUUUAGACGGAAUUUUCAAACAGGGCAAAUGGCCAGCGUUGUUUCUGAACACAGCUUCACUUCCUGUCGACUCUGCCACACGGCCACCUUCCUCGUCCUCAAUUAAAGCCCUGGCCCGCCCUAUGGUACUGCUUCUCUUGUGUAAGGUCCGGUCUUUAAAUAGUACGAAGAACUCCCCUGCCAGGGAGACCGUCUUCUUGGCAGCACAUCUGAGAAUCUCCAGCACAGUACUUUGUUCCAGGGUUCCCAGAAGAGCAGGAAAUCUUAAUAUUCUGAGAAGCCUCAUUGGUGAGCCUAAGCACCCUGCCAAAAAUAAUUGCUUUUAUUUGCUUUGAAGAAGUCUGUCUUGUGUCAGUAGGCAUCCAACAGCCACUUGUGGCUCUACACCAGUUCUAGGACCCGUGGAGAGAGCCUCAUUGGUGAGCCUACACAAGCCCAGGGGAGACACACCUAUGUGAGCAUGAGGGGUGGAGGGGACAGAGAAUUGGUGGCGGCCUAAUGCAAGCAGCUUGGUCUGCAAGGAGGACCCUCAGCUCCCCCCUGGCUGGGGACUGACCCAGAGUCUCACACCUGCCAGGCAAGCUCUCUACGACUGAGCUGCAUUCUCGGCCCCUCCCCACUUACACAUCUGAGCAGCUAACGCUGACUUUGAACUUGGGACCCUCCUGCCCUGGCUUCCCUUACAGGCUGGUACCACCACCGGGCCUGACUUGUAAGGAAGUUUUUAACACAGUUCUGUGGCCCUACAAGAGGCAGGGCACAGCCAUGUGUUACCAAGAGCACAGGACACUUACUCAAAACCAAAAGAGGAAGUCAGGGUCUGAGCUUAGGGAAGACAGAGCAAUGAUCAGGUUCAAAACAGCAGGAACACAGAGGAGGGCGGAGUUAUCAGAACUGGGGCCAGCUUGGUAGACAUUCUGAAAUAAACAGGUAAAAUGGAGAAGGAAGGAAGGAAGGAAGGAAGGAAGGAAGGAAGGAAGGAAGGA